GAGUUUAUUGGCUAUACGGGUUAUUUUUUGGUUGUUGUUUGUAUGUUUAGCGAUUAGCAGAUAACGCAGGGGGAGGAUUCCUAAACGAGAAACUGGCUAUACAGGUAUUUUUUUGGUUGUUGUUUGUAUGUUUAGCGGUUAGCAGAUAAUUGCCUAACACUGUCAGAAUUUUCUAUAUUAUAUGGACACAAAUGUAGAAUCCAAAUGUUGGAGGUUGGUAGUAAAGAGGCAGAGUUAGAGUUUAUUGGCUAUACGGGUUAUUUUUUGGUUGUUGUUUGUAUGUUUAGCGAUUAGCAGAUAACGCAGGGGGAGGAUUCCUAAACGAGAAACUGGCUAUACAGGUAUUUUUUUGGUUGUUGUUUGUAUGUUUAGCGGUUAGCAGAUAACGCAGGGGGAGAAUUCUUUACUAGCGCCAAACUUUUAAUAAUCUGACAUUCAAUAGCUUUUGAAUUC